rnacentral:sRNA from 18 species
ACUAGCACUGACGUGCUAGGCUGAGUUAUGCCGUACCUUCGGUACU